rnacentral:rRNA from 1 species
CUUUCUAACCCGCACCACUUAUCGUGGUGGGAGACAGUGUCAGGCGGGCAGUUUGACUGGGGCGGUCGCCUCCUAAAAGGUAACGGAGGCGCUCAAAGGUUCCCUCAGAAUGGUUGGAAAUCAUUCAUAGAGUGUAAAGGCAUAAGGGAGCUUGACUGCGAGACCUACAAGUCGAGCAGGGUCGAAAGACGGACUUAGUGAGCCGGUGGUUCCGCAUGGAAGGGCCAUCGCUCAACGGAUAAAAGCUACCCCGGGGAUAACAGGCUUAUCUCCCCCAAGAGUUCACAUCGACGGGGAGGUUUGGCACCUCGAUGUCGGCUCAUCGCAUCCUGGGGCUGUAGUCGGUCCCAAGGGUUGGGCUGUUCGCCCAUUAAAGCGGUACGCGAGCUGGGUUUAGAACGUCGUGAGACAGUUCGGUCCCUAUCCGCUGUGCGCGUAGGAAACUUGAGAAGACCUGUCCCUAGUACGAGAGGACCGGGAUGGACGAACCUCUGGUG